rnacentral:rRNA from 1 species
GACGAACGCUGGCGGCGUGCUUAAUACAUGCAAGUCGAACGGAAGGACGAGAAGUUUGCGGGUCUGAGGGUAGCGGAGGAGGGGAGAGAAACACGGGGAUAAGCUACUUAUAAGACGGGGAUAACUAGGGAAAAGCGUAGAUAACAGCGGAUAAGAUCUUGCACCGGAUGGGGGAAAGGAGAAAGACGGUGUUGGGGUCAGGUAUAGAGGGAUCCGCGCUGCUUUAGCUGGUGGGGAAGGUAAAGGCUUACCAAGGCAACGAUGCAUAGCCGAGCUGAGAGGAUGGUCGGCCGCCCUGGAACUGAGACACGCCCCAUGCUCCUACGGGACGCCGCAGUAGGGAAUCGUCCGCAAUGGGCGGGAACCUGACGGAGCAGCGCCGCGUCAGUGAUGAAGAUCUUCGGUUCGUGAAACUCUGUUUUUAGGGAAGAACACAUGUGUACGUAGCUGUGCACAUCUUGACGGUACCUAGUCAAAAAGCCACGGCUAACUACGUG